rnacentral:rRNA from 1 species
GAUGAACGCUGGCGGCGUGCCUAACACAUGCAAGUCGAACGGAGAUUACGGACGGAAGUUUUCGGAUGGAAGCCUGUAAUUCUUAGUGGCGGACGGGUGAGUAACGCGUGGGCAACCUGCCCUAUACAGGGGGAUAGCAGCUGGAAACGGCUGGUAAGACCGCAUAAGUCGGUUAAAUCGCAUGAUUUGAUCGGGGAAUGAGCAAUCAGGUAUAGGAUGGGCCCGCGUCCGAUUAGCCAGUUGGCAGGGUAAAAGCCUACCAAAGCGACGAUCGGUAGCCGGACUGAGAGGUCGGACGGCCACAUUGGGACUGAGACACGGCCCAAACUCCUACGGGAGGCAGCAGUGGGGGAUAUUGCACAAUGGAGGAAACUCUGAUGCAGCGACGCCGCGUGAGUGAAGAAGUAUUUCGGUAUGUAAAGCUCUAUCAGCAGGGAAGAUGAUGACGGUACCUGACUAAGAAGCCCCGGCUAACUACGUG